rnacentral:tRNA from 2 species
GGAGGGUUAGCUCAGUUGGGAGAGCGUCUGCCUUACAAGCAGAGGGUCACAGGUUCGAGCCCUGUACCCUCCA